GCGAUACAGGGUGACAGCCCCGUACACAAAAAUGCACAUAUUGUGAGCUCGAUGAGUAGGGCGGGACACGUGGUAUCCUGUCUGAAUAUGGGGGGACCAUCCUCCAAGGCUAAAUACUCCUGACUGACCGAUAGUGAACCAGUACCGUGAGGGAAAGGCGAAAAGAACCCCGGCGAGGGGAGUGAAAAAGAACCUGAAACCGUGUACGUACAAGCAGUGGGAGCCUCUUAAUGGGGUGACUGCGUACCUUUUGUAUAAUGGGUCAGCGACUUAUAUUCUGUAGCAAGGUUAACCGAAUAGGGGAGCCGAAGGGAAACCGAGUCUUAACUGGGCGUUAAGUUGCAGGGUAUAGACCCGAAACCCGGUGAUCUAGCCAUGGGCAGGUUGAAGGUUGGGUAACACUAACUGGAGGACCGAACCGACUAAUGUUGAAAAAUUAGCGGAUGACUUGUGGCUGGGGGUGAAAGGCCAAUCAAACCGGGAGAUAGCUGGUUCUCCCCGAAAGCUAUUUAGGUAGCGCCUCGUGAAUUCAUCUCCGGGGGUAGAGCACUGUUUCGGCAAGGGGGUCAUCCCGACUUACCAACCCGAUGCAAACUGCGAAUACCGGAGAAUGUUAUCACGGGAGACACACGGCGGGUGCUAACGUCCGUCGUGAAGAGGGAAACAACCCAGACCGCCAGCUAAGGUCCCAAAGUCAUGGUUAAGUGGGAAACGAUGUGGGAAGGCCCAGACAGCCAGGAUGUUGGCUUAGAAGCAGCCAUCAUUUAAAGAAAGCGUAAUAGCUCACUGGUCGAGUCGGCCUGCGCGGAAGAUGUAACGGGGCUAAACCAUGCACCGAAGCUGCGGCAGCGACACUAUGUGUUGUUGGGUAGGGGAGCGUUCUGUAAGCCUGUGAAGGUGGCCUG
rnacentral:rRNA from 1 species